rnacentral:lncRNA from 1 species
CUAUAAUCACAUGGCAAAAUCAAAUAACAAAACGCAUCAGAAACGAAAGGACAAGAACUGUCAUAUUCCUGACUUGGUACAGGCAUUUUCAAAUGUAGAAAAUGGUGGAUUAAACAUGGUUUUAUAGCGCUAACCCUCUCACUUUGAUGACAGUCUCAUCAAAUUCCGUUAUAUUUACAUUGAUGCGUUAACUAAACAGAC